GACGAACGCUGGCGGCGUGCUUAACACAUGCAAGUCGAACGGAAAGGCCCUGCUUUUGUGGGGUGCUCGAGUGGCGAACGGGUGAGUAACACGUGAGUAACCUGCCCUUGACUUUGGGAUAACUUCAGGAAACUGGGGCUAAUACCGGAUAGGAGCUCCUGCUGCAUGGUGGGGGUUGGAAAGUUUCGGCGGUUGGGGAUGGACUCGCGGCUUAUCAGCUUGUUGGUGGGGUAGUGGCUUACCAAGGCUUUGACGGGUAGCCGGCCUGAGAGGGUGACCGGCCACAUUGGGACUGGGAUACGGCCCAGACUCCUACGGGAGGCAGCAGUGGGGAAUAUUGCACAAUGGGCGGAAGCCUGAUGCAGCAACGCCGCGUGCGGGAUGACGGCCUUCGGGUUGUAAACCGCUUUCGCCUGUGACGAAGCGUGAGUGACGGUAAUGGGUAAAGAAGCAACGGCUAACUACAUG
rnacentral:rRNA from 1 species